rnacentral:rRNA from 1 species
GCUGUCGCUAAAGGAUGGACCUGCGAUGCAUUAGCUAGUUGGUAAGGUAACGGCUUACCAAGGCGAUGAUGCAUAGCCGAGUUGAGAGACUGAUCGGCCACAUUGGGACUGAGACACGGCCCAAACUCCUACGGGAGGCAGCAGUAGGGAAUCUUCCACAAUGGACGCAAGUCUGAUGGAGCAACGCCGCGUGAGUGAAGAAGGUUUUCGGAUCGUAAAGCUCUGUUGUUGGUGAAGAAGGAUAGAGGUAGUAACUGGCCUUUAUUUGACGGUAAUCAACCAGAAAGUCACGGCUAACUACGUGCCAGCAGCCGCGGUAAUACGUAGGUGGCAAGCGUUGUCCGGAUUUAUUGGGCGUAAAGCGAGCGCAGGCGGAUUGAUAAGUCUGAUGUGAAAGCCUUCGGCUCAACCGAAGAACUGCAUCAGAAACUGUCAAUCUUGAGUGCAGAAGAGGAGAGUGGAACUCCAUGUGUAGCGGUGGAAUGCGUAGAUAUAUGGAAGAACACCAGUGGCGAAGGCGGCUCUCUGGUCUGUAACUGACGCUGAGGCUCGAAAGCAUGGGUAGCGAACAGGAUUAGAUACCCUGGUAGUCCAUGCCGUAAACGAUGAGUGCUAAGUGUUGGGAGGUUUCCGCCUCUCAGUGCUGCAGCUAACGCAUUAAGCACUCCGCCUGGGGAGUACGACCGCAAGGUUGAAACUCAAAGGAAUUGACGGGGGCCCGCACAAGCGGUGGAGCAUGUGGUUUAAUUCGAAGCAACGCGAAGAACCUUACCAGGUCUUGACAUCCUUUGACCACCUAAGAGAUUAGGUUUUCCCUUCGGGGACAAAGAGACAGGUGGUGCAUGGCUGUCGUCAGCUCGUGUCGUGAGAUGUUGGGUUAAGUCCCGCAACGAGCGCAACCCUUGUUAAUAGUUGCCAGCAUUAAGUUGGGCACUCUAUUGAGACUGCCGGUGACAAACCGGAGGAAGGUGGGGAUGACGUCAAGUCAUCAUGCCCCUUAUGACCUGGGCUACACACGUGCUACAAUGGGCAGUACAACGAGAAGCGAACCUGUGAAGGCAAGCGGAUCUCUUAAAGCUGUUCUCAGUUCGGACUGUAGGCUGCAACUCGCCUACACGAAGCUGGAAUCGCUAGUAAUCGCGGAUCAGCACGCCGCGGUGAAUACGUUCCCGGG